UACGGAGGAUCCAAGCGUUAUCCGGAAUUACUGGGCGUAAAGAGUUGCGUAGGCGGCAGAGUAAGCAGAGUUUGAAAUCGUGUGGCUCAACCAUACAUCCAAUCUUUGAACUGCUCAGCUAGAGGAUGAGAGAGGUGGCUGGAAUUCCCAGUGUAGGAGUGAAAUCCGUAGAUAUUGGGAGGAACACCGAUGGCGUAGGCAGGCCACUGGCUCAUUCCUGACGCUCAGGCACGAAAGCGUGGGGAGCGACCGGG
rnacentral:rRNA from 1 species